rnacentral:rRNA from 1 species
GGAAUAUUGGACAAUGGGCGCAAGCCUGAUCCAGCCAUGCCGCGUGUGUGUAGAAGGCCUUCGGGUUGUAAAGCCCUUUCGACGGGGACGAUGAUGACGGUACCCGGCGAAGAAGCACCGGCUAACCCCGUUCCAGCAGCCGCGGUAAGACGGAGGGUGCUAGCGUUGUUCGGAAUCACUGGGCGUAAAGGGCGCGUAGGCGGCCUUUGGUGUCGGAUGUGAAAGCCCGGGGCUCAACUCCGGAGGUGCAUCCGAAACUCGAAGGCUGGAGGCCGGAAGAGGAGGGUGGAAUACCCAGUGUAGAGGUGAAAUUCGUAGAUAUUGGGUGGAACACCGGUGGCGAAAGCGGCUCUCUGGUCCGGUCCUGACGCUGAGGCGCGAAAGCGUGGGGAGCAAAC